GCCUGUGAUGGGCUCAUUAGUAGACCGGACACAGCUGAGGAGAGACUCUGUGCUUGACGCUCUCUCGGUAGAAACUUCCAAAACCUUAUCUGUAGAAGAACAAAGAUAAGAAUUACAUCUGCCUUCUCAGAAACCAUGCAAGCAAGAAGAGGAGUAAAAUAUUGAAAGUGUUGAGAGAAAAUAACCAUCAACCUUGGAUUCUGUAACCUGAGAAAUCAUCCUUCAAAAGUGAAUGAGAAAUUACGACUUUCUCAGACAAAACAAUUAAGGGAAUUAGCUGCCAGUAGAUCUACCUUGCAAGAAAUGUUGAAAGAAGUUCUUUACAGAGAAGGAAUGUAAUAUAGGGCAUAAACUUGGAUCUACAUAAAAAAGGGAAGAAAAUUGAAGAAGGAAUAAAUGAAGUUUGGCACCAUAACUCGGAUUAGACUAGAAGCCCACCUCCAGACUCCACCCUCUCCACCCACGUGCUGAGGUCUCUUGAGCCUGUUGUGUUCCUUCCCUGACUGGCAAUUCAGGGAUCCCACAGAAGAUUAGCCCUGAGCUAACAUCUGCUGUCAAUCCUCCUCUUUUGCUGUGGAAGACUGGCCCUGAGCUUACAUCUGUGCCCAUCUCCCUCUACUUUAUAUGUGGGACUCCUGCCACAGCAUGGCUUGCCAAGCUGUGCCAUGUCUGCACCCAGGAUCCAAACUGGCGGGCCCCGGGCUGCUGAAGCGGAAUGUGCAAACUUAACUGCUGCGCCACCGGGCCGACCCCUCUACAUAGUAUCUUUUAAGUUUUGUCUGUUGUCGUUCUUAUAUAAAAGCAGUCCUACUUUUUAAUUUUGUGCGACUUGCUCUUUUUGGCAACAAUAUUUGCUGGAAAUUUAUCCACGAUGAUACAUAUAUCCAGUUAUUUAUUCCUAAUGAUGAAUAGUAUUCCAAUUAUGUCAGUAUACUAAAACUUUUUUAAUCCCUUAUUUUUUUGAGAUUUAGUUUUUUUUUAAAUUUUUUUUCUCUUUUACAAAAUA
rnacentral:lncRNA from 1 species